CUCCCCUCCUCCUUCAUUCUCUGUCUAUAUCGCUCACUCACUCCCGCUUUCUUUCUCUAUGUAUCUCACUCGCUUACUCCUCCUCCUCUCGCUCCCUCAUUCACUUUAUACCUAUUCCUCCCGCUCCUCUACCUCUCUCUUUACAGUUACGAGCUGAAGAUCGUUAGCACCAUCGUUACCUUCCUUCUUUCGUCACCGAAACUGUUCUUAUCAAAGCUUUUGUUUAAGAAGGAAUACGUUUUAUUAUUUUUUUUUUAAAACACCCAGCUUCCCGCAAAUUAAUUUCCUUGCUUAAAAUACAUAAAGAAAGAGAAAAAGGAACGAAAAUAAGGUCCAUAUUAAGAGGAACACCCUAUCCGUUAAACAACGUCUGUUCACUAAUUUGCUUCGGAUUAUACAGCACCUGUUAAAAAAAUUAAGCAAUUUCCAGCAAGUAUUUCAGGUAUUUUCGAUCUUCUUCUGUUCAACUAUUUGUAUUUACGUGCGAAUGGAAACUACAUGUAUAUAUAUUUUAUGUAUGUUUAUAAAUAUAUUACAUAUAUAAUGUGUGCGUAUACAUAUAUGUACGUAUAAUGCAAUCUAUGUAUUUAUAUAUUUAAUGUAAUAUAUGUUUGGGUGCAUAUAUAGUGCUCUCUGUCCCUCUAUCAAUAUAUAUAUAUAUUUAUAUACACACACAAUCACACAUACACGUAUGUGUGUGUGUACCAUGUAAUAUGUCAAUUUAUAUGUAUAAAAUGCAUUAUGGAUAUGUCUUAGACAGAUACAUGAAGCCGUAUCUGUCUAAGAUAUUUCUAUAUCUAUUAGGCAAUAUAUUUGUGUUUUUAAUGUAAUGUAUGUAUUUAUCAUGCAAAUGAUGUGUGUAUGUAUAUAAUACAAUAGAUACAAUAGAUAUGUAUGAAUGCAGGGUAUGUAUGCAAUAUGUGUGGGUCUGUGUAUUAUGUUAUGUACACAUAUGUAUAUAUAAUGUUUGAUCAUGUGCCAAUGCACGAAACUCUCGGACCUUGAGUCACUCUGUUGCUUCUACUCUCUCUCUUUAUCUAUCUAUCUAUCUAUCUAUCUAUCUAUCUAUCGUCAGUAAAUCAUAAAUCCGAAAGAGAAACACACUCCAAGUUUAUAUAUCUCGUACGCGUACAUAAUAUAUAAGGUAAUAUGGAACACACACAUGUAUAAAUUCAACAGGCACAUAUAUGUCACAAGUACUGCAAUAAAUAUUAGAAAGCCUAGCUGUGAGAGAAAUAGGGAUGUAAACACACUCCAUCUGUGAUUUUGUUGUGUGGAAAAACUGAGUGAGAGAGUCUCCUAGCAGCUGUUUCAUGGUUUGUUGGCUGCUCUUCCGAAAGGACAUACCCGGUUACCUUUGACAAUCAAUAACGUAGAAUAUUCAAGUAUUAUAUAUAGCAGUCGGAAAUUUGCUUAUCAAUGGUAGAGUAGCUUCAUUUGCAUAUAUGUACUUUUGACAGCUCAUCAUUUGUUAAAGUAUGUAUGUAUUUUAUGCACAACAGAGCACGAAUCAGAAUUACUGGAAUAAAUGUAAAUAUUUAGAAAAAUGGUCCUCCCAAACCAAUCAAACCAGCAUGGAAAGUAAAAUAAUGAGGAUACUAUAUAUGUAAUGUAUACACACACACACACACACGAGGGGUUGCUGAAAGUUCCUGACUUUGGGUAAAAGAAAAUACAGGAGGAUCAGUUAAUUAUAAUUUUAUUCAACAUAUUCCUCAUAUUCACACACUGUGGUCCUUUAGUUUCUCUAACCCCUGUAAAAGAACUCAGAAUGUUGGGCCUCCAGCUAGGCCUUUAGUGACACCCUUAAAAUCAGAAACUUUUAGCACACCCUCAUACAUACACACUCACAUAUAUAUUCCCCCAUCACACUCCUAUCUACUGUAUUCUGCUAUUGCAACUUAUGACAUUAGAAUCUGUUAUUGCAAAGCAUUUCAUAUUACCUUUUCUAUACUGCCAGUCACCACUUCCUUUCCUUUUGGCUACACCCAUUUGACAUCAUAACCUUGCCCCCUCCAUAUUUACAAUUAGUCACCUCCAUCUAGUCAUUUUUGUACUCCUGCAACCUUACCCACCACUGCUGAGUCCCUUUCAUGCUUUCUUCGAUUCAUCUUCAUGUAAAUUUUUGAGGCUAUGUUUUGGCUACUCAUUGCUGUUCUUAUUUAGCUCCCUUUGUAAAAUCCCAUCUACCUAUGUAAAAUGCAAAGUAGCCAAUGGAUCUCCUUCACACCAAACAUAUUGUGGCUGCUCCUAUCAUUUAUUAACUGCUCAGCAUAUCACAUAAAAUGACCACUUUAUUUCCUAUUCUUCUUCGUGGACAAGAGAGCUUUUUAGUCUUGUGAGUUACAAGGCAACCUCACCAAUGUUGGUGCCACACACACACACAAAAGCCCAGUGUACCAUAUAAAAAAGUAAUUGUUAUUGGGCAGAGUAUACAGCUGCAGAAACUAUGCCCAAAUUGUAUCACUGGAACAAAAUGUGGUCCUCUAACUUGUUAGAUCCACUCUGUCUAACCAUCCACUCCAUGUGUACAUGCAUGUAUAUAUACAUAUACACACACAUAUGUAUGUGUCAAUCAAAUUCAAAUAUAACUGGAUUUUCACACUUUAUUUUUGUAUUUUCACUAGUACUUUCAGGUUUUAUAAUAAUCUUUUGGUAAAUGUUUACAUAACAACUGUAGCAGCUUGAUGGCAUCAUUGUAUAGAUUUUUAUACUGAUUUUGUCUAUAUUAGGCAUGAGUCAUCAAGAUUUUUUUAUGACUUUUCUGACCAAUGGAUAUAUAUAUAUAUAUAUAUAUCAUGAGAAAGACACACACUUGUCAGUACCUGAUGCCAUCCAGUAUACAGAGAACAUAACAUUCCAUACUGUCUUGUCAAAGGAAUUGCACUGUUAUUGAGAAUAGCAAGUGGAUUUCUACCCAAACAAAAAUAUUUAUCAUUACUUAUACAAAAUGAUAUAGAUUGUACAAAGCAAAUACUUAUAGAAUAAUUUUGAACAGGUGUGGCUGUGUGGUUGCUUCCCAACCCCAUGGUUCUGAGUUCAGUCUUACUGUGUAGCACCUUAGGCUAAUGUCUUCUACUAUAGACUCAGGCUAACCAAAGCCUUGUGAGUGGAUUUGGUAGAUGGAAACUGAAAAAGCCCUUUGUAUAUGUGUGUGUUUGUGGAACGUGUGUGUCUGUCUGUUUGUCCCCCACCACUGCUUGACAACCAGUGUUGGUGUGUUUACAUUUCCAUAACUUAGCAAUACAACAGAGGAGUCUGAUAGGAUAAGUAUUAGGCUUUAAAAAAAAAAGGUACUUAGGCUUAUUCUUUUGAGUAAAAAUUCUUCAAGGCAGUACCCUAGCUGCAAUCUAAUGACUGAUAAAAGAUAAAAGAAUUCAAUCCAUAUUAACGACAUUCUCCAUAGUAUACAAAAUACAUACAUAUAGAAGCUUUUGUAAUGAUACAUAAUCCAUGUAAUCAAGAGAUUUUUCAUGUUGUCAAGGCAGACUUAACUUAUUAUCAUACAAAGUAAUAAAUUAAAGGAUUUAGUUUCCAAUCAGAUUCUUGUUCAUAGCAAAUGACAUUUGAAAAACUUGAAACUGUUAUUGAUAAAGGCAAAGUUUGAUUUAAACAAUGGCAAUAAAAAACUUCACAAUAGCUUAGAGCAUUGACAGGCAUUGUGCUUGUAUAUCAACUUAUAAAUGCUGGUUACUAUAUCAACACAGAGACUGGAAGAAAAAUAUCCACAUAUGCAAAUGUGAGCUGUAAAAAGAGACAUUGCUUAUUGUAUUAAAUCAAAUGUCUAAUUUGUGAGCAAAUAUAUACAUUGGUAGACUGAAAAUUCAAAAUCAGAACACAAGUGAGUAUUCUUGCAGCAAAGUAGGGACCCUAAUAAAGUAGGGACCGUAACAAAGUAGGGACUUGUCAGGCAAAUCCUAUUAAGUAGUCAUUUAGAAACAUGCUAUAAUAAUUUUUUUUUUCGAUAUUUCUAUUUUAUAAACAUUAUGAUCAAGUGAAGUUAAAAGAGGGGAAGAAGAAAAGAAUUUUAUUGUAGUUCAAAUGAGGUCUGAAUCAUCAUCAUCAGCAUACAUCUAUUUUCCAUACUGGCAUGGGUUGGCCAGUUUGAUAGGAGCUGGUAAGGCCAGGCAUUGCAUCAGGUUCCAUAGUCUGGUUUGGUUUGGUGUCCACAGUUGGAUGCCCUUAACACUAACCACUUUACAGAGUGUACUGGGUGCUUUUUAUGUGGUACCAUCACCAGUGCUUUAUACGUGGCACCAUUACCAGUGCUUUUUACGUGGUACCUUCACCAUGCUUUUUAAAUGGCACCAUCAUCAGUGCUUUGUACGUGGCACCAUCACCAGUGCUUUUUAAAUGGCACCAUCACCAGUGCCUUGCACGUGGCACCAUCACCAGUGCUUUUUAUGUGGCAUCAUCACCAGUGCUUUUUACGUGGCACCAUCACCAGUGCUUUUUAAAUGGCACCAUCACCAGUGCCUUGCACGUGGCACCAUCACCAGUGCUUUUUACGUGGCAUCAUCACCAGUGCUUUUUACGUGGCACCAUCACCAGUGCUUUUUAAAUGGCACCAUCACCAGUGCCUUGCACGUGGCACCAUCACCAGUGCUUUUUACGUGGGAUCAUCACCAGUGCUUUUUACGUGGCACCAUCACCAGUGCUUUGUACAUGGCACCAUCACCAGUGCUUUUUAUGUGACACCAGUACCAGUGCUUUUUACAUGGCACAAGCAUCAGUGUUCCUCAUGAACAACCAUUGCCAAAGUGGUUUUAGGAUAUUUAUUCUGCUGGGGUGGAUGGGUUCUGAAUGGACAAUAAUAUUUAAGUUGAAUUUGAUUUUAAAAUAACACUUACUG
rnacentral:lncRNA from 1 species